AUUUGACGGCCGAUGGGAGCGCUAGUUUUAACAGAGAAAUCAAGAAACAAAUCGCGUUAGUCAUUUGAUCACAUCGACAAAAGUUCUCCCAGUCUCUGACCGCGCGUCCGAUUUCCCGACCGUUCAGUCCGCCUUUGGCGAACAAUGACAGUCAAUGUUAAAAUAUUUGGUUCAACUGUUUAUUUUUCAAAAUUUUUUUGAGUAAAAUCUGAAGAUUAUCCAAAUUGCAUGAGACAGUAUAAAGCAUUAUUUUAAAAUUGUUGGAUCGCGUUGGGCCAACGUUGUUACAUUGUUGCGUAAAAACAAGUUCCCACAAUCACCCUCAACCAAUACUUGCCUUUCAAGCUGGUUGACCCGGGUUCAAUCCUUUGUCGGGCCUCUAAUCAAGGUCUUAAAAUAACUGAGGAAAAAGUGCUACCUUCAGGGACGUCGCUAUAGGGGAGGGGUGUAACACACCCCCAAUAAUUCAAACGUUGGUCAAAGUUGGUCAAAAUGGAACUGAUAUUUGCCCACAGUUGGUCAAAUGGAACAGAAAUUUGCUUAAUUAAAAUUGAAGGUAAAACUCGGAAAAAUUUGGUCAAAGUUUGGGAUAAAAGAUGGUCGAAGUUGCUCAAAGUUAUGAAAUGGUUCGCAAUUUUAACAAUUUUAAAGCUUUUGUUAUGUUUGCGGUGAAAAAAUUGGAAGCCUUGUUUAUCUUGGUCCAAAAAUUUUUAAUAUGCUUAUGUUAGGCCGGAAAAAUGUUUUCGACUGUGCUUAUUUUAGUCCGGAAAAUUUUUUUGACUCCCCCACCCCCCCGUCGACAACAUUUUCAGGAGAAAUUCGUACGGCUUGGUCAAAAUCCUAGGAAAUGUUG